GAUGAACGCUGGCGGCGUGCCUAAUACAUGCAAGUCGAGCGAACAGAUAAGGAGCUUGCUCCUUUGACGUUAGCGGCGGACGGGUGAGUAACACGUGGAUAACCUACCUAUAAGACUGGGAUAACUUCGGGAAACCGGAGCUAAUACCGGAUAACAUAUUGACCCGCAUGGUUCAAUAGUGAAAGGCGGCUUUGCUGUCACUUAUAGAUGGAUCCGCGCCGUAUUAGCUAGUUGGUAAGGUAACGGCUUACCAAGGCAACGAUACGUAGCCGACCUGAGAGGGUGAUCGGCCACACUGGAACUGAGACACGGUCCAGACUCCUACGGGAGGCAGCAGUAGGGAAUCUUCCGCAAUGGGCGAAAGCCUGACGGAGCAACGCCGCGUGAGUGAUGAAGGUCCUCGGAUCGUAAAACUCUGUUAUCAGGGAAGAACAAAUGUGUAAGUAACUGUGCACAUCUUGACGGUACCUGAUCAGAAAGCCACGGCUAACUACGUG
rnacentral:rRNA from 1 species